UGUUAGAAUUAAUGACCAAAUUGUACUACUAUUUAAACAAGAAUCAUUAGUAUUUUAUGUAAAAACAUUGGAGGCCUACAGUUGUACCGCACACUCACGCACGCACGCACCCGGAUUUUCUGUAUUUUUUUCUUCGUGACAGACGUGGUUGAUGGCUGGAAAGGACAUUUUCCCUUCGUUAAAGGUUCUCACUGAAGGGGAUAAUUCUCACUGAAACUACAGAAUAAAGCCGCCAGUUAAAAUCAUGGAACGGUUGUGCUCGUGGUUACUGAAGGGAGCUACAAGACCAUUAUUCGUUUCGAAUUCACCAACUCAAAGACGCUUGCCCGCUCCAUCAUAACUCCGUAAGUUUUCCCUCCCUGUGUAGAUCAAACGUCCUGCCUGUAAAUCCUGGGUAUGCCCACAUCAUUAAUGAAUAAGAUGUGUAGAAAACUGUUUAGCCAUAGUUAAAGGCCUUUCAUAAAGAGGCUGUCAUGAUUGCCUGUGCCUCAUGUUUAACACGUAUUGCUUGUUACCGAAUACUACUGUUGUACAUUUAAUAUCUACUAGCCGAUUUCGUCGCAUUUGCACAAAUUCUGUCAUGUUACUGUGGUCUUUUUAAAAGUCAAUAAAUAUGUGUGUAGAGUGUACAUGUUUGUUUCACUGUAGAUCUGUUUAAGACCUCCUAGAAACACCUAAUUUCAUCCCACAGCAUUAAUUAAUAAGCUGUGUAGAAGCUGUUUAGCCAUAAGUAAAGGCCUUUCAUAAAGCAGCUGUCAUGAUUGCAUGUCCCUUAUGUUUAACACGUAUUGCUUGUUACAGAAUACUACUGUUGUACAUUUAAUAUCCCCUAGCAGAUUUCGUUGCCUUUGCACAAAUUCUGUCAUGUUACUGUGGUCUUUUUAAAAGUCAAUAAAAAUGUGUGUAAAUUGUCCAUGUUUGUUUCACUGUAUAUUUGUUUAAGCCCUCCUAGAAACACCUAAUUAAAGGCCUUUCAUAAAGAGGCGGUCAUGAUUGCAUGUGCCUCAUGUUUAACACGUAUUGCUUGUUACAGAAUACUACUGUUGUACAUUUAAUAUCCCCUAGCAGAUUUCGUUGCCUUUGCACAAAUUCUGUCAUGUUACUGUGGUCUUUUUAAAAGUCAAUAAAUAUGUGUGUAAAGUGUA